rnacentral:lncRNA from 1 species
CGCGAGGCCAGGGCUCGAAGAAACGCAGCAGAGGGCAAAGGGCGAGGUCCAACGGCCCAGCCCCAGCAGGGGACUCUCGAGCUUCGGGAUUCCGCCUACCCGGUAGCGGCUGUUUAGACCCAGACCGGCCCCUGCGCGAUAUGAGCACCGCUCAGGACUGCAGCUGUUGGGCACCAGCAGCCAGGUCUGCAGGCUCCGCGAAGCCUGGCCCGGACCGUAGCUUCUGCAAGCAGUCCAGGUGUAUCCUGGGGUCACUGGAGGGCAGAGCCUGCUCAGAGCGAGUACAGAAGCAGCCCAGGUCUUCCCAGCACCAGGUUCACUGGAAGUGCCAGGCCACCACCUCCUUCAUGCUCCUCUGUGAUCACCUCUCCAAGUCCCGGUGUCAGGAGCCUUCUCUGUGGCCGCCCUGGAGAGACUUGAGCCUGGGACGUGACGUGCUGGGCUGUGAAGCUUUCUGAGAAGGGAAACCUGUGGCCUGACCUGCCUGAAUGCUGCACCCAACCUCAUCUCUUCCUGGGAGGCAGGCUCUCUUCGCUUGUUUUUACAAAUUUGAAACCAACAACUGUCAGCAUUGACACCAUCAGGCCUUUCUCUUCUAAUUUAACCUUGCAGCCAACCACACGGCUAUCUGUGCGGGAUCUCUCCCCAAGCUCAAGGACAUGAGAUGCGGAUCAGGCCCAAGAGGCUGGAUGCCAAACCUAUCCUCUCCAUGUGAAGCACCAACUUGGGGGUGUCAACUAAAAAUAUGAGACCCGUAAACUUGGAAAGGAAGACUUUAUUUCUUGAGAAGGGUUGCAAACUGCAGGCUGGGAAGUGGCACCUCCAGCUGAGACCACAAACAGUGGACUUUCUCAAACUGGGGUAUUGACCUCUGAUGAACCGCCAUGCAAACCCGUGCCUUUCAACAUAAAAAGAAGCCCUUCGAGGUGCUCACCUUCAAGCUUGCUAGAGGAGGAGGAAGAGCAGGUUGAGUUUGACAUAACUAGAAUGGGUUGAGCCUUUCCAGCAGAGUAAGGUUCUUUCAUGGUGGACAGUGGCCACCCACUGCCAUUUCUACAAGAAGAUUUUGCUUCUUAGGCACUGAGUUCCUGGUUCUUUCACUAGAGAAAAAUGAGUAGGUUGGCAAUCCAGUACUUCCAUCUUCUGUGAAGACCUGGGCAGGCAACGGGGGCUUGGGGGCGGGGGCAGGGACCAAAGACAAGGCUGCCAUUUGCUGUGCCCACCACAGAGGGACAUUUACUCCACCUGAAGCACAAGUAUUUUCUCAGUGAUGUUGGCUCCUACAAAGUCAAAAGGGGUAGGCUCCCUGGCUUACGCUCCAGGAGUUUGGACUGAAAGGGACACUAAAAGUGUCUUCCUCUAAGUUUAUGAUGUUGCCCUCCUCUGGCUACAACAGUGCUCUGGCCAUAAGCAUCCCAGGUUCUCUGAAUGAUGGUGGGUAUGGAAAUGUUCCCAAACACAGGUAUGGCGGUGUCCCCUCCCACUGUACCAAUCUAUGCCCAGGGCUGGAAGGUCCGUGGUGCUCUGAACUGGAUUCAUAAACAGUAGCAUCUCCAACCACAAGUGUGGUGUCAGGCCCUCCAACAGUAGCACAUGUGCUCCCGUGGGUGCCUGAUAGAAAGUGGGAACAUGUGUUUAUUAGCCAGGUGGGCCCCAAAUGCUCUGACGAGGUGCAGAAAGAGGACUCUUUGUCACAGUUGUGCUGUGCCCUCCCAUUGCAACACAUGUGCUCUGAACAGGUGGAGCCCAGGUGCUUUGCAUGUAGGCGGACACAAGAGGGCCUCUAAGCACAAGUGUGGUGUUGGAACCCUCAAGGCUACCGAUGCAUUCUGGCCAGGUGUGUCCCAGGUGGUCUGACUAUAGACAGCAACAGAAUUAUCUCCAGCACCGUUAUAGAGAUACCCGUCCAACUGAUGUGCUCUAGCGGGAUGGGACCCGGGUGAUCCGAACACAAGGAGGAACAGAAGUUUAUUCUGAUAUAUGCUCCUUCUUAGCGAUGUUAUCUCCUUCAAUAGUAACAGGUAUGCUUUGGCUGGGUGGGCCUCAGUCACUCUGUAGCCAGGAAGGAAAGGGCUCCCAAAACAGAUUUCUGCUCCGUAGAGCUGAUCUUCCCUCAUUGCAACAGGGAUGCUAUAGGCAGGCAGGACCUGGUGCUCAGGUCUAAGCCCUUCCUAGAAUAAGUUGUGGUUCUGAGUGUUGUCAGCCCUUCUGCAGAUUUCAAUGACCCCUGACAAGGAGCCAGGGUUUGGGACAGACACAAUGACUGCAAACCUGCCACCACCCAAAGGGGCUUAGAUAUUGAUGGUGCAUGGCACUGCUGCAGUGGCCCUUUAUCUUGAUCCCCUUUUUUUUUGAGACGGAGUUUCGCUCUGUCGCCCAGGCUGGAGUGCAGUGGCGCGAUCUUGGCUCACUGCAAGCUCCGCCUCCAGGGUUCAUGCCAUUCUCCUGCCUCAGGCCUCCACCUCUCAGGUUCAAGCGAUUCUCCCGCCUCCGCCUCUGCCUCCUGGGUUCAAGCAAACCUCCGUCUCCUGGAUCCAAGUGAUUCUCCUGCCUCAGCCUCCCAAGUAGCUGGGACUACAGGUGUGCGCAACCACGCCCAGCUAAUUUUUGUAUUUUUAGUAGAGAUGGGGUUUCAC